rnacentral:rRNA from 1 species
UGAGGAAUAUUGAGCAAUGGGCGAAAGCCUGACUCAGCAACGCCGCGUGGGCGAUGAAGGCCUUCGGGUCGUAAAGCCCUUUUCUGAGGGACGAGGAAGGACGGUACCUCAGGAAUAAGUCACGGCUAACUACGUGCCAGCAGCCGCGGUAAUACGUAGGUGGCCAGCGUUAUCCGGAAUCAUUGGGCGUAAAGCGCGUGUAGGUGGUUUCGUUAGUCGGACGUGAAAUCUCCUGGCUUAACUGGGAGGGGCCGUUCGAUACUGCGGAGCUUGAGGUCGGGAGAGGGACGUGGAAUUCCCGGUGUAGUGGUGGAAUGCGUAGAUAUCGGGAGGAACACCAGUGGCGAAGGCGGCGUCCUGGCCCGCACCUGACACUCAGACGCGAAAGCGUGGGGAGCGAACGGG